UUGGAUGGUGUGAGUUUGUUAAAUGAUCGGCAAGCCGCUAGAUUAGCGACACACAAAUCAUGUUCACCAACCAAGUUUGUUCAAUGGUUGUAA
rnacentral:rRNA from 1 species